UACGUAGGGUCCGAGCGUUGUCCGGAUUUAUUGGGCGUAAAGAGCUCGUAGGCGGUUCCGUAAGUCAGAUGUGAAAACUCAGGGCUCAACCCGGAGACGGCAUCUGAUACUGCGGUGACUGGAGUCUGGUAGGGGAACACGGAAUUCCUGGUGUAGCGGUGAAAUGCGCAGAUAUCAGGAGGAACACCGAUGGCGAAGGCAGUGUUCUGGGCCAGUACUGACGCUGAGGAGCGAAAGCGUGGGGAGCAAACAGG
rnacentral:rRNA from 1 species